ACGGCCAGUUCCCGUUGAAACACCGGUUCCCGUAUGAUCACAAGAGUUAAACUACGUCGAGCCAGGUCUGUACCUAGAUGGGUGACCACUUGGGAAUACGAGGAGGUGCU